rnacentral:rRNA from 1 species
CCCUUAGAUGUUCUGGGCUGCACGCGCGCUACACUGAAGCGUUCAACGAGUAUUCACCUUGCCCGGGAGGGUUGGGUAAUCUUUUGAAAACGCUUCGUGAUGGGGAUAGAUUAUUGCAAUUAUUAAUCUUCAACGAGGAAUUCCUAGUAAGCGCGAGUCAUCAGCUCGUGCUGAUUACGUCCCUGCCCUUUGUACACACCGCCCGUCGCUCUUACCGAUUGAGUGAUCCGGUGAAUAAUUCGGACUGCAGCACUGCUUGGUCUCCAGGCUUUGCAGCGGAAAGUUUAGUGAACCUUAUCACUUAGAGGAAGGAGAAGUCGUAACA